rnacentral:rRNA from 1 species
AUUGAACGCUGGCGGCAGGCCUAACACAUGCAAGUCGAGCGGUAACAUGUCUAGCUUGCUAGAUGAUGACGAGCGGCGGACGGGAGAGUAAUGCUUGGGGAUCUGCCUUAGAGUGGAGGAUAACCAUUGGAAACGAUGGCUAAUACUGCAUAGUAUCUGCGGAUUAAAGGGGGCUUAGGCUCUUGCUUUAAGAUGAACCCAAGUGGGAUUAGCUAGUUGGUGAGGUAAUGGCUCACCAAGGCGACGAUCCCUAGCUGGUCUGAGAGGAUGAUCAGCCACACUGGAACUGAGACACGGUCCAGACUCCUACGGGAGGCAGCAGUGGGGAAUAUUGCACAAUGGGCGAAAGCCUGAUGCAGCCAUGCCGCGUGUGUGAAGAAGGCCCUAGGGUUGUAAAGCACUUUCAGUCAGGAGGAAAGGUUAGUAGUUAAUACCUGCUAGCUGUGACGUUACUGACAGAAGAAGCACCGGCUAACUUCGUGCCAGCAGCCGCGGUAAUACGAGGGGUGCAAGCGUUAAUCGGAAUUACUGGGCGUAAAGCGAGCGUAGGCGGCUGAAUAAGCUGGAUGUGAAAAACCGGGGCUCAACCUCGGCCGUGCAUUCAGAACUGUUUAGCUAGAGUCCUGUAGAGGGGGGUAGAAUUUCA